rnacentral:lncRNA from 1 species
CAGGGGAGGUCUUCAAGAAUCCGGGCCCCUCUGGUUUCCGCCCCCUCCUUGAGCCCAGGACAAAGGUAGCGGGUUUGAGGAGCUCGGACUGUUCUCAGGGCGUCUACAAGGCCAUCAGAGAGCUGGUGCCUCCACUCUCAGGGCCUCGGGCAACUUUUUAUCUGACUUGGCGGCGCUGGAGGGCUGCCACUUUCCACCGCAUUUCCAUUUGGCCUUCGCAAUUGCAAUACCCUGAAGGCACUGCCCACACCCUAGCCUUCCAGCAAUCGGGAUUCAAGCUGGACUUCCCAUAACCAGCAACAGUGUAACGUGAAGACACUCCUAGACUCAGGUUUCCCUCAACCCUUCUCCCGCUUGUCCGCACACGGGGCGGAUCAACGCCCCCCACCCACGGCCCCACCCCCGCGGGCUCCGCAACCCAGGGCCGCAGCUACCGAGUGUGCUUCUCCUCCCUCCCGAGGCUGUUGGCUUUAAACACACUUGCUGCACUCACCCCCACCACACACUCAGUCGUUCUCACCCUUCCUUUCUCCCUGCUGGGCCUCCUCCAAACCGGAUUGCCUAGCCUGAAUGCAGAGUCCAGGCAGUAGUGCAGCGGUCCCCACGGGGUGGGGUGGAGAGAAGUUCACUGGGCACGGUGGGUAGGGGUUGGUGGGGUUGCAGGGGGGUAUCCGGAGAGAGAAACACCUCCAAGUCACUAGAGUAUU